rnacentral:rRNA from 1 species
CUACGGGUGGCUGCAGUGAGGAAUUUUGCGCAAUGGGGGAAACCCUGACGCAGCAACGCCGCGUGAGUGAAGAAGGCCCUUGGGUCGUAAAGCUCUGUCAAUGGGGAAGAAGUUAUUAUGUGUUAAUAGCACAUUUUAUUGACGGUACCCAUGAAGGAAGCACCGGCUAACUCCGUGCCAGCGGCCGCGGUAAUACGUGGGGGUGCAAGCGUUAUUCGGAAUUAUUGGGCGUAAAGGGCACGCAGGCGGUCCUGUCAGUCAGAUGUGAAAGCCCGGGGCUCAACCCCGGACGUGCAUUUGAAACAGCAGGACUUGAGUACGGGAGAGGAAAGGGGAAUUCCUGGUGUAGAGGUGAAAUUCGUAGAUAUCAGGAGGAACACCGGUGGCGAAGGCGCCUUUCUGGACCGAUACUGACGCUGAGGUGCGAAGGCGUGGGUAGCGAACGGGAUUAGAUACCCGAGUAGUC